rnacentral:misc_RNA from 1 species
AUUAUCCGCCGCGCCCGUCUUCAAUCCCUUCCGUUGUAUCCACGCUUCCAAUGUCUUCCCAAAGCCCAUACCCCCUUCACUCUUUUCAAUCCCUUCUGCAGCUCGAUAUCACAGUUUAUUCCAUGGUGGUCUAAGGAAAACCAACUUCGCUGUCUGUUUCGUCCUCGAAGACACAAAACAGAGUGUCCAGAUUGAGAAUCGCACACCGGAACAGUCCGAAGAAGUGAAUUACCAUAUCAUGACGCCCCGUGCGGCGGAGAGAUUGGCCAGGAAGAGAUCCGAGAGGUUCACUUACUUGGUUGCUGCUGUGAUG